GACGAAGGAUGCAAGCGUUAUCCGGAUUCAUUGGGGUUAAAGGGUGCGUAGGCGGUCUUAUAAGUCAGUGGUGAAAUCUCUCAGCUUAACUGAGAAACUGCCAUUGAUACUGUAGGACUUGAGUACAGAUGAUGUUGGCGGAAUAUGACAUGUAGCGGUGAAAUGCAUAGAUAUGUCAUAGAACACCGAUUGCGAAGGCAGCUGACAAAACUGUAACUGACGCUGAGGCACGAAAGUGUGGGGAUCAAACAGG
rnacentral:rRNA from 1 species